UACGUAGGGUGCAAGCGUUGUCCGGAAUUAUUGGGCGUAAAGAGCUCGUAGGCGGUUUGUCGCGUCUGCUGUGAAAACCCGAGGCUCAACCUCGGGCCUGCAGUGGGUACGGGCAGACUAGAGUGCGGUAGGGGAGAUUGGAAUUCCUGGUGUAGCGGUGGAAUGCGCAGAUAUCAGGAGGAACACCAAUGGCGAAGGCAGAUCUCUGGGCCGUAACUGACGCUGAGGAGCAAAGCAUGGGGAGCGAACAGG
rnacentral:rRNA from 1 species